AGGUAGAAAUAUCAGACAUCUGUGCCCA
rnacentral:piRNA from 1 species